CUUCAGCGCGUUAGCCCAGAAACUCAAUUGUGCCUGGGUAUAAAACCCAGGGCAGAGUAGCCUUUUGGGGUCCGUCAGUUCCAGGGCAAUGUAAUGUGAGACAUUGAGAUAAGACUCCAUCUGCCCCAGGAGCAGAUUUCCUGAGCCCUAGGGGACUGGCUCGCCUUGAAUUCCAGACACGGAUUUUCCCUUGCUGGCUAUCUGUAGGAUCACUGCAACUCCCAAGCCCAGAGAGCACCCGGUUCAGACGCAGAUGGAAAGAUGGUGGCUGCAGAGGAAACGAAAAUUGGAGGGUUAUGUGGAAUGACUGAGACACUGGAAAAACUGGGGAAUAUGCUCAAGACGACUAGUGAAGCUGGUUGCCAGGGUUUGUUUUGUUUUGCUUUUCAGAAUUAAUUGAAACUUGACUGUGGGUACAUUCUUCCCUGUGUGAGUGGCUUAGGGGUCAUGAUGUUGGACUCCUGGUGAAAGAAUUGCAUCUUAAUAUUCUACUUUGUUCUGCUGUCAGCAACUUUUAUAUAAUCAUAAUAAUGGAAAGACAUUGAUCAGCCUUUGACUUGUAAAAUCACCCCAUAGACAAAUCACGGAACGUAUAACUUAUUACAGUGCAAAAUGUAAAUGUGAUGAAUCUUGACAAAAUAAAAGAGGUACAUUUGAAAGAGGUUGGGAGGUGAAAAUUGAAGAGGUU
rnacentral:lncRNA from 1 species